UACGUAGGGUGCGAGCGUUGUCCGGAAUCAUUGGGCGUAAAGCGCGUGUAGGCGGUCCGGUAAGUCCGCUGUGAAAGUCGAGGGCUCAACCCUCGAAUGCCGGUGGAUACUGUCGGGCUUGAGUACGGGAGAGGCGAGUGGAAUUCCUGGUGUAGCGGUGAAAUGCGCAGAUAUCAGGAGGAACACCGAUUGCGAAGGCAGCUCGCUGGAACGUUACUGACGCUGAGACGCGAAAGCGUGGGGAGCAAACAGG
rnacentral:rRNA from 1 species